AGAAUGAACGUUGGCGGCGUGGAUUAGGCAUGCAAGUCGUACGGGCCGCAAGGCCAGUGGCGCAAGGGUGAGUAAGGCGACGGUAACCAACCCCAUGACUGGGUAUAGCCGCGGGAAACUGCGGGUAAUCCCCAGCGACGUCCCGGGGGGGCAUCCCCUGGGGACCAAAGCUCCGGCGUCGUGGGACGGGCCGUCGUGGUAUUAGGUUGUUGGCGGGGUAAUGGCCCACCAAGCCUGCGAUGCCUACCGGGCGUGCGAGCGUGGCCCGGCACACUGGGACUGAGACACUGCCCAGACUCCUACGGGAGGCUGCAGUCGAGAAUCUUCGGCAAUGGGCGCAAGCCUGACCGAGCGACGCCGCGUGGAGGAUGAAGGCCUUCGGGUUGUAACUCCUGUCGAGGGGAAGAGGGUCGAAGACUUGACUUAUCCCUGGAGGAGCGACGGGCUAAGUUCGUGCCAGCAGCCGC
rnacentral:rRNA from 1 species